UACGUAGGGGGCAAGCGUUGUCCGGAAUCAUUGGGCGUAAAGAGCGCGUAGGCGGCCCAGUAAGUCCGCUCUGAAAGUCAGGGGCUCAACCCCUGAAUGCGGGUGGAUACUGCUGGGCUAGAGUCCGGAAGAGGCGAGUGGAAUUCCUGGUGUAGCGGUGAAAUGCGCAGAUAUCUGGAGGAACACCGGUGGCGAAGGCGGCAUCCUGGACCGAUACUGACGCUGAGGAGCGAAAGCCAGGGGAGCAAACGGG
rnacentral:rRNA from 1 species